rnacentral:lncRNA from 1 species
AUUGCUGUAGCGGAGUGACUGUGACGGGGCGGAGCCAAAAAUGAAGAUUAGUUCCGCCCGGACCAUAUAUCGCAAACACCGCCACUUCCGGGAACGCCGGCGAACCCAAAUCGGCGUGUUAUUGGGAACAGGUGUCUUGUUGAGCGUGGCGAUCACUGAUUGGGCAAUUCGGUGAAGAGGAGACACAUAAAUAGGGCAUCAGAAACACAGGAAGUGGUUGGUGGGCAGGCUGUCGCACGUCCUUUAGAUUCUGACACUGUGGUGCUCACCCUUACCCCAUGUGCGGAGGAAAAUGAAUCUGACACUGUGGUGCUCACCCUUACCCCAUGUGCGGAGGAAAAUGAAACUGUGUGUGAGGAAUCUGCUGGACCAGUUGCUGCAGUUACAGAAUCCACAAUGGAUGUUGCUGAGUGUGAAGACAUGGCACAAACAACAUUCAGUGGUGAUUUGGUUCAGCCCUCAGAGCACGUCAAGGACACCAAAAACACAGAAGUUGUCGCAAAAAAGAAAGGGAGAAGAAGUUGUCAAAAGACACGUCUGCCAUGCGAGGAAUGUGCAGAGCGGACAUCGUCCGGAAACUUUCUUUAUUCAAAGAUCCUAA